CCUACGGGGGGCUGCAGUCGGGAAUAUUGGGCAAUGGGCGCAAGCCUGACCCAGCGACGCCGCGUGAGGGAUGAAGGCCUUCGGGUCGUAAACCUCUGUCGGGAGGGAAGAAUGGCGGUGAGGCGAAUAGUCUCGCUGUCUGACGGUACCUCCAAAGGAAGCGCCGGCUAACUCCGUGCCAGCAGCCGCGGUAAUACGGAGGGCGUAAGCGUUGGUCGGACUCGUUGGGCGUAAAGCGCGUGUAGGCUGUGAAAUCCCGAGGCUCAACCUCGGAACUGCAUUCGAAACUGCUCGGCUCGAGUCCCGGAGAGGAUGGCGGAAUUCCCGGUGUAGGGGUGAAAUCCGUAGAUAUCGGGAGGAACACCAGUGGCGAAGGCGGCCAUCUGGACGGUGACUGACGCUGAGACGCGAAAGCGUGGGGAGCAAACAGGAUUAGAUACCCCAGUAGUC
rnacentral:rRNA from 1 species